rnacentral:lncRNA from 1 species
GAGGAAAAUCUUUCUUAAAAGACGUUGUUGCCGAAAAGAAGGGUGGCUCUCAGGCACCAGGUAAAAUAAAUGCCUGUUUUAUGAGUAAGGUCACCAGGUGUAGACGUGGCCAUCCACGAGGAGUAUGGCUUAAGAGGUGUGGUCAGUCAACAAUACAGAUGUGGAUAUGCCAGAGACCCGAUGGUGGAGUAGUGAGGAUCCUAGGCGACCGUGUGUGGAGGGCGUGGUGAGACAAUUAGGGCGUGGCCAGUCUCGCGGAGCCCUGACACCCAACGAACGCUCCAGUAAUUUGCCCAGGCUCGAGACCAGAACUGGAUAUUAACUGUCCGUAUCCGGCGGUGUCCGGAGCCGGGUGACCGGGUGUCCAGCAGAAGGCGCGAAUGAAGGCAAAGCCUCCCACCCACCUGCAAUGUGUCGACUGAGGGUCUUGCUGCUGCUGCUCCCCUUGGCCUUCGUGUCCUCCUCUGCUCUCCCCAUCCAUGAUGUCGACUCUCAGCAGAACACCUCCGGGUUCCUGGGCCUUCAGAGGCUUCUCCAAAGCUUUAGUCGACUGUUCCUAAAAGUGAGUGAUGGGACAGAGACAUGAACCAGGCAGAAGGCAGAUAAGAAAAGGAGCAAACAGAACAGAGAGAGUUGGAGAUAAGUCUUAGAUGGGCGAGUGGUUGUCUAGCAUGUACGAAGCCCUGGGCCUGACGUCCUGCAACAAUUACACCAGCACUCAGGAGGUGCAGGCCGGAGGAACAGGAGUGGGAAGCCACCUUCCCCUACACAGGAAGUUUGAGGUCAGCCAGGAAUACGCGAGAUUUUGUGUCGCAGAAAAGCAGGUGUUGGGUUGAACAGAUAGUUGGGGGACAUGACAACACAAAAUAGGAAGAGAAGCCGGACCUGUGAUUGAAAGCCUGUCAUCCCAGCUAGCAGGUCCCAGAUGUGGCUAAGGCUCCCAUGAAAUCCCAACAUGAG